rfam:Morus notabilis contig5372, whole genome shotgun sequence.
AGCAGAAUGAUGAGGUUUUUGUAACUGAAUAUGAUGUGGAACUCAUAUCAAAUUGGUCUUCAAAGUUCUCUGAUUGCU